rnacentral:rRNA from 1 species
ACGGGUGGCAGCAGUAGGGAAUAUUGCACAAUGGGCGCAAGCCUGAUGCAGCAACGCCGCGUGCGCGAUGAAGGCCUUCGGGUCGUAAAGCGCUUUUCUGGAGGAAGAGCAAGGACGGUGCUCCAGGAAGAAGGAUCGGCUAACUACGUGCCAGCAGCCGCGGUAACACGUAGGAUCCGAGCGUUAUCCGAAUUUACUGGGCGUAAAGCGCGUGCAGGCGGUUUGGUAAGUUGGACGUGAAAUCUCCCGGCUCAACUGGGAGGGGUCGUUCAAGACUGCCAGACUAGGGGGCAGUAGAGGGAGGUGGAAUUCCCGGUGUAGUGGUGAAAUGCGUAGAUAUCGGGAGGAACACCAGUGGCGAAAGCGGCCUCCUGGGCUGCACCUGACGCUCAGACGCGAAAGCUAGGGGAGCGAACGGGAUUAGAUACCCCGGUAGUCCUAGCUGUAAACGAUGUGGACUUGGCGUCGGUGGGUUCAAGUCCGCCGGUGCCGUAGCUAACGCGCUAAGUCCACCGCCUGGGGACUACGGCCGCAAGGUUAAAACUCAAAGGAAUUGGCGGGGGCCCGCACAAGCAGCGGAGCGUGUGGUUUAAUUCGAUUCUACACGAAGAACCUUACCCGGGUUUGACAUGCAGGUGGUAGGGAACUGAAAAGGGACCGACCCUUCGGGGAGCCUGCACAGGUGCUGCAUGGCUGUCGUCAGCUCGUGUCGUGAGAUGUCCGGUUAAGUCCGGUAACGAGCGCAACCCCUGCUGGAUGUUACAUGUGUCAUCCAGGACUGCCGGUUUAGUGCCGGAGGAAGGCGGGGAUGACGUCAAGUCAGCAUGGCCUUUAUAUCCGGGGCUACACACACGCUACAAUGGCCAGUACAAUGGGUCGCAAAGCCGCAAGGUGGAGCCAAUCCCCAAAGCUGGCCUCAGUUCAGAUUGCAGGCUGCAACUCGCCUGCAUGAAGUCGGAGUUGCUAGUAACCGCGCGUCAGCUAUAGUGCGGUGAAUACGUUCCCGGGCCUUGCACACACCGCCCGUCACGUCAUGGGAGCUGGCAACACCUGAAGCCGGUAUCCUAACCGUAAGGAAGGAGCCGUCGAAGGUGGGGCUGGUGACUGGGACGAAGUCGUAACAAGGUAGGUGUACCGGAAGGUGCGCCUGG